GAUGAGCCAGAAUUGGUACCUUGUCUUUAAAUAAGGUGCAAAAUGAUUUUAACUGAAGAGUUUGAUCAUGGCUCAGAUUGAACGCUGGCGGCAGGCUUAACACAUGCAAGUCGAGCGGAGAGAGGUAGCUUGCUACUGAUCUUAGCGGCGGACGGGUGAGUAAUGCUUAGGAAUCUGCCUAUUAGUGGGGGACAACAUCUCGAAAGGGAUGCUAAUACCGCAUACGUCCUACGGGAGAAAGCAGGGGAUCUUCGGACCUUGCGCUAAUAGAUGAGCCUAAGUCGGAUUAGCUAGUUGGUGGGGUAAAGGCCUACCAAGGCGACGAUCUGUAGCGGGUCUGAGAGGAUGAUCCGCCACACUGGGACUGAGACACGGCCCAGACUCCUACGGGAGGCAGCAGUGGGGAAUAUUGGACAAUGGGGGGAACCCUGAUCCAGCCAUGCCGCGUGUGUGAAGAAGGCCUUAUGGUUGUAAAGCACUUUAAGCGAGGAGGAGGCUACUUUAGUUAAUACCUAGAGAUAGUGGACGUUACUCGCAGAAUAAGCACCGGCUAACUCUGUGCCAGCAGCCGCGGUAAUACAGAGGGUGCAAGCGUUAAUCGGAUUUACUGGGCGUAAAGCGCGCGUAGGCGGCUAAUUAAGUCAAAUGUGAAAUCCCCGAGCUUAACUUGGGAAUUGCAUUCGAUACUGGUUAGCUAGAGUGUGGGAGAGGAUGGUAGAAUUCCAGGUGUAGCGGUGAAAUGCGUAGAGAUCUGGAGGAAUACCGAUGGCGAAGGCAGCCAUCUGGCCUAACACUGACGCUGAGGUGCGAAAGCAUGGGGAGCAAACAGGAUUAGAUACCCUGGUAGUCCAUGCCGUAAACGAUGUCUACUAGCCGUUGGGGCCUUUGAGGCUUUAGUGGCGCAGCUAACGCGAUAAGUAGACCGCCUGGGGAGUACGGUCGCAAGACUAAAACUCAAAUGAAUUGACGGGGGCCCGCACAAGCGGUGGAGCAUGUGGUUUAAUUCGAUGCAACGCGAAGAACCUUACCUGGCCUUGACAUAGUAAGAACUUUCCAGAGAUGGAUUGGUGCCUUCGGGAACUUACAUACAGGUGCUGCAUGGCUGUCGUCAGCUCGUGUCGUGAGAUGUUGGGUUAAGUCCCGCAACGAGCGCAACCCUUUUCCUUAUUUGCCAGCGAGUAAUGUCGGGAACUUUAAGGAUACUGCCAGUGACAAACUGGAGGAAGGCGGGGACGACGUCAAGUCAUCAUGGCCCUUACGGCCAGGGCUACACACGUGCUACAAUGGUCGGUACAAAGGGUUGCUACACAGCGAUGUGAUGCUAAUCUCAAAAAGCCGAUCGUAGUCGGAUUGGAGUCUGCAACUCGACUCCAUGAAGUCGGAAUCGCUAGUAAUCGCGGAUCAGAAUGCCGCGGUGAAUACGUUCCCGGGCCUUGUACACACCGCCCGUCACACCAUGGGAGUUUGUUGCACCAGAAGUAGCUAGCCUAACUGCAAAGAGGGCGGUUACCACGGUGUGGCCGAUGACUGGGGUGAAGUCGUAACAAGGUAGCCGUAGGGGAACCUGCGGCUGGAUCACCUCCUUAA
rnacentral:rRNA from 1 species